GAGGGUAUAGCUCAGUGGUAGAGGGCAUGCAUAGCAUGCACCAGGUCCUGGGUUCAAUCUCCGGUACCUCCA
rnacentral:tRNA from 1 species